rnacentral:rRNA from 1 species
UACGUAGGUGGCAAGCGUUGUCCGGAUUUAUUGGGCGUAAAGCGAGCGCAGGCGGCUCGUUAAGUCUGAUGUGAAAGCCCCCGGCUCAACCAGGGAGGGUCAGUGGAAACUGGCGAACUUGAGUGCCGAAGAGGAGAGUGGAAUUCCCAGUGUAGCGGUGAAAUUCGUAGAUAUUGGGAGGAACACCAGUGGCGAAGGCGGCCGUCUGGACGGUAACUGACGCUGAGGCUCGAAAGCAUGGGUAGCAAACAGG